GACGUAGGGCGCGAGCGUUGUCCGGAUUUAUUGGGCGUAAAGAGCUCGUAGGCGGCUUGUCGCGUCGACCGUGAAAACUUGGGGCUCAACCCCAAGCCUGCGGUCGAUACGGGCAGGCUCGAGUUCGGCAGGGGAGACUGGAAUUCCUGGUGUAGCGGUGAAAUGCGCAGAUAUCAGGAGGAACACCGGUGGCGAAGGCGGGUCUCUGGGCCGAUACUGACGCUGAGGAGCGAAAGCGUGGGGAGCGAACAGG
rnacentral:rRNA from 1 species